rnacentral:lncRNA from 12 species
UUUUCCUUUUCCAUAUCUUUUAAAAAAAAUCUUGAGAAGUUCAAAUUGUGGAUCAAACUAAUGUGUCAUAAUAGUUCAUUCCUAUGGUUUGCUUUGUCAUUUGUAGCAGUAAUCAAGGGAGUGGGGCUUUGCAAAUGUUCAUUUGAUUAAUAAAAAUUGUUUCCAACAGGAUUCCAAAGCAUUCAUCAAUCAAGGUGUGAGGAACUGCUUUACAUGCCUGCAGUUUCUCGUUGAUUAUAUAUCGCAGUCAGUCUGGUUUUGUCGCCUCAUGUCAGGUUGCAUCACUCUCAUUGUAGCCGAAUUUUAACCGUGACCUCUACAAAUGAUUUCUCCAGCAGGGCUGCUGUCUCCUGAGGUAUUGCCCCAUUACCUGAGGGUAUCGGUGAGCUUUCCGGACAGACGAUUAGUGGCAUUAGUCUCGUGGCACGGCGGAUCUUACAUGGGCUCAGGGAUAUCAGAGAAGUUUCCUGCAUGGCUUAAUGAGAUAUGCAUACAAAGUUGCAGCUCCGUGUCGCUGGCCUUCACUGUCUCGUGGUUUUGGCGUCUCUGGUGUCGUCACAUGUCCUCAGAGCUCUGGCUGAACACGCAGGUUAGUAAUCAGGUCAAACUCUUCAGCUGUGAUUCAAUGUAAAUGGACAGCUGCCCUGUUCCUCCAUGUCCACGUCCUCUUCUGGGAGAUGCUGGCUUGCCGUUAUCUGACUGCCUUUAUUUGUCGAACGCCUCCAGAUCUCACCUGCCACCUGAGCCCCUCAAUGCUUGAACAGUACAGGUCAGCUGAUGAUACAGAACGUGGUCGUGUGUGUGUUUGGAGGGAGGUGUGUCAUCUCUUUUCUUACACCGUUAGAUCUGUUUUGAAGGUGUAGGAAGAGUUGAGUUUGUAGGAUAAAGUGGGAAUACAAUGAUUUGGUGGUUUCUCAAUCAGCUCCUUAGUUCAAUGGCCAGUGUGCUCUGUCUGUCUGUCUGUCUGAUUAGUAAUUUUUUUAAUGUUUUAUUUUUAUUAAUCAUUUAAUAUAAUUUUUGUAUUACAAUUUUUAUAUUUUUAAAGUAUGUAUUUUUUGUGGUAGUAGCAGUUGUAGUUAUGUAGUGUACUGAUUUUCAACUUCAAAUUUAUUAUUUCAAAUUUAUUAUUUUUUAUUAUGUCUUUACAUUUUUAAUCAUUACUCAAAUUUUUAUUAUUUUUAUUAGCAGUAGUAGUUUUAUAGUAUACUGAUUCCCAACAUCAAAUGUAUUUUUUUAAUUUUAUUAUAUACAUUUUAUUAUUUUAAAUUGAUAAUUUCUUAAAUUUUUUUUAAAUUGAUAAAAGUAGUAGUAAUCGUUUUAAAAUUUCCAAAAUAUAAUUAUUUAAUUAAAUUAUUACUUUUUUAAAUAUAUUUUUAUAUAUUAAUUUCUGGGCAAGUUGGUUAAAAAGAGAAAUUACGCUAAACAAAAAUCUAUAAAUAUGUAUUUAAUUUGUAAAAAAAAAUAUGACAAUAUCAUCUUAUAAACAAUAAUAUGAUAAAUACAAAUAUUCAAAUUUUUUCAGGUUCACACCAACCCUUUUCUUCAGUUUGAUAUUUUCUGCUGUGUGAUUUGCACCACGCCAUCAAGGUCUCAUUUUUACGGCCUCUUUUGUCUGAGACUAUGUUGGAUCUCAUCGUUUUCCAUGUGGGUUGUGGGCUAAAGUUUGACCAGACUGAAAUCCGAAAAGGUCUUUGUAAAAAAAAAAAAAAAAAAAAAAAGCCAUCAGCGCUUUAGGUCGGCCCAUUGUUGCCUGAAAACCUGCAUUUCUCAUUUAUUUCUCGCUCGUCUGCUCUUGCUAUUGUGCAUUUUCUCAUCUUUGGGUUUGUAUCUGGCUGGAAAUUGAUAAGCAAGAAUCCCCGACGAUCCAAAAGGCUUUGUGUGUACGUGUGCAUGGUGUGAGGAGGGGAUACGAGCGGCGUUCUUGUUUAUCUAGCUCGCCUUUUCCAGAUGGCGCUCAGCAGAAAAAAUCCACUUCUUGACAUGCUCUCUUUCUCUCUCUCUUUUUCGGCCGACUGUGGGCUCUCACAGGAAACCGGGUGAGUUUUCGGGGCCAGACUCCGUCGCCGUGAGGGGCGGAAGGUGUUCCUCGCCGGGAGGCAUAAAAGUACAAGAUGUUUGGGUUUGAGUGUGUCUGUAAACACCCAGCCUCUUUAUUUUCACCCGAAUAGCAUGUGAUCCAUUAGGUGUAAUGGAUACUUACACAUUUUAAUACAUCAGCUAUGCAAUCCUUUUAAAACUAUCACAAGUCAAUAAAUCAAUAACCUGAUUUAUUCAAAACAACCCAGAGUCAUUUGUGCCAUAAGUGUGCAUGCAUCUGUUGCUCCAGUCAUUUUGAAACAGCAUCUUUCAUGCGGGCGGAUUCCUCCAAGCUGAUGUUUAUUUCAAACAAACACUGUAGCCUACAGCAAAUCUGCUUCACCAUUGGCGGUAAUCAUGGUCUAUUUUUGAACAAUGCUGUAGAGCAGACUUGCUCCUGGAGAUCUACCUUCCUGCUGAGUUCAGAUCUGGCUAAUCAAACACACCUGAACUAGCUAAUCAACAGCACCGUCUCAAUUUGCAUACUUGCACUAAAAGUACAUACAUACUUUUGAAUGUUUUAAGACUGUACACCAGUGUCACAGACCAUUUUAUUUGUUUCUAUUUGCACGCCAACAUUAGCAUUAGCUAAAUUACCUUAUCAUAUAUAUUGUUUCUGUUUGCAUGUAGCUAGACGAUCUUAUGGCAUUGUCUCCAUUUGCAAAUGAAUGUUAGCUUUUACUAAAUUAACAUAUUGCAUAUAGUUUCUUGUUGCAUGUGAGCAUUAGCAUUAUUGAAACAACCUUAUUACAAAUUGUUUGUUUACAUUUAAACACUAGCAUUAAUUAAACGGUUUUAUCGGAUAUUGUUUCUGUUUGCAUGUGAACGUUAGCAUUAGCUAGAUGACCAUCUGAAUGUGAAUGUUAGCAUUCACUAAAUGAACAUAUCGCAUAUUUUUCCAUUUGCAUGCGAACGUUAGAAUUAACAAAACCAAAUUGUUUAAUUAAAUUUACCCUUACGAAAAAGAAGUUUAUUCAAGUGUGCUAUUAGUAUACUUCUUUUAAACUAAAAAUAGGAAAGUAUGCUUUUAGUUUACUUUUUAUGUACUUCUCAGAAAUAUACUUAAAAUGACAUUUAAGUAUACUUGACUUAUACUUACAAAAAGUCUAAAUAUACUUGAACUUUACUUAAGUAUACUUAAUAAAAUAAACUUGAAGUAUACUACUUUCUGGUAAAGGUAAGCGUGAGCAUUAGCUAAAUGGCUUUAUCACAUAUUGUUUCUGUUUGCAUUUGAACGGUAGCUUUAGCUAGACAAACUUAUCAAAUUGUUUUAAUUUUCAUGUUAAUGUUAGCAUUUACUAAACAAACAUAUUGCAUAUUGUUUCAAAUUGCACGCAAACAGUAGCAUUACUGAAAUUGUUGACCUUAUAGCAAUGUUUCUGUUUGCAUGUGAAUGUAGCAUUACCAGAGCAACCUUAUUACAAAUUUUCUUUUUACAUUUGAGCGUUAGCAUUAGCUAAGUGAUUUUAUUGUAUAUUGUUUCCAUGCAUGCGAGCAUUAGCAUUAGCUAAACGACCUUAUUACAUUGUUUCUGUUUGCAUGUGAAUGUUAGCAUUCGCCAAAUUAACUUAUUGUAAAAUUGUUUCCAUUUGGAUUUGAACCCUAGCAUUAAACAACCUUACUGCAUUUUGUCUCUGUUUUCAUGUGAACAUUAGCAAAAGAACAUUAUAAUUUGUUUCUUUUUGCAUAGCCUUUUUGCAAGGCUAGCAUGAGCUAAAUCCAUUACCAUAAAAUCCAAUGUAAUACUUAUACUUAGCAUUUAGGUUAGUACAUGAAAAAUACAUGUUGAAGUGCAACCUUUUUAGUCACAACAUUUCGCUAACCUCAUUAGCAUAAAUCAAUUUAUCGUUUCACUUUUUUAUAUAAACUGGGUUAGUAUAUUCUGCACAAUAUAUGUACUGUAUACUGCAGAAAUAGUAAGAGUAGUAUACUGUUCUGAACUGUUAUUGUAUAAUACUAUUUUAGGGCAAAUAUUAUGCAAAUUGGACCACAGCGCUAGUUUCCUGCAGAGUUUAGUUCCACCGCUAAUCAAACACCUGUCCUAAUCAAGGUCUAGUGGUUCAAAUUGAAAAUGAGAGAGCGUGUUUAUACAGAGCUGGAACUAAAGUAAAAAAACUAAACUAGAAGCAGCUGUAAUGGAGCGUCUGGCAUAGGAAGUGGAUUCACAGCGUUCUGUGGCGUGGGAUUUUUACUAGUGUGCAAACGACCUGCAUUUCUCAGCAGAAAGGUUGUGUGCUUCUCCUUCAGAGCAUAAUGCCUCGGUCACAGGGCAUUGAUCUGCUUUCAGAGGUCUCUGUGUGUGCUCGUCCAUGUCUCAUCCUUUGCUUUGUGUAUUUAUAGGCUGUCUAACUUGCCUUCCUGCAGGUCAUCAGGUUGUCGCGUGCUGUUGGCUGAUCGAACAGGUGUUGGUCUUGCGGAUUUUUCUGGGUCCUGUAUUGAUAGUUGUUCGAUGGGUCCGUCAGAUAAGGAGCGGCGUGUCACAGGCCACCGAUCCAGCGCUUAUCUUCACAUUCCACCACUAGCGCAGUGCUAAUGAGUGGUACAAACCCUCAAAACCAUUAUUGAGCUCUUUGGAUGCCGAUAUUUUGACACUGCUGGGAGGUUUGUUUUCCUCAGGUGAUCGUGUUUGUGUGGC